CGCGUACUGUGCGAACGUUAUUCGGAAUCACUGGGCUUAAAGGGUGCGUAGGCGGCAAUCCAAGUCAGAUGUGAAAUGCCUGAGCUCAACUGAGGCAUUGCGUUUGAAACUAGAUCGCUAGAGUAUUUCAGGGGUGUGCGGAACUGCCAGUGGAACGGUGAAAUGUGUUGAUAUUGGCGGGAACACCGGAGGCGAAGGCGGCACACUGGGGAACAACUGACGCUGAGGCACGAAAGCCAAGGGAGCGAACGGG
rnacentral:rRNA from 1 species